UGAUUUCUAGUAUUUCGUCAGGAAUAAAUCUAGGUAGAAAAUGUAUACCCAGUCCACGCCUUGGGUGUAGUGUUGCUGUUAAUAUAAAAAUAAAGGAGCGGUGGACUAUUUGAAUACUGAUCGUGCACCAUGAUAUUAGGGCUUAAAUUUGAAUAUGAUGAACGCGUUACUUAUUAUGCAGAUAUUUGUGAAGGCUGCACUUUUUAUCACUAGAAAUAGUUUUGAAAAUCUCAUUGUGGAACUUAAACGCGCAGCUUAUUUGAGAUACAUUGAAAUUUAUCGAUAUGGUUAUAUUAACAACUUUGGGAUAACCUACAACCAUAACUAUAUGAAAAAUUGAACUAUAACAACUGGAAAAGGAAUAGAUAAAUUUGCCAGCAUGUUUACUACUACUACUACUACUACUACUACUACUACUAAUAAUAAUAAUCUAAUCAAUAUUGUUGUUGUUGCUACUCCUAUCAGUCUUUACUUUUCGGUGUUGAUUUUUUUUGCCAAGGGCAGGCGAUCAAAUAAUACGUAUAUAUAGUUUUUCAUCCGCUGCUGCAUCUGGGGUGGUACGUGAUGGAAUCGUGAUACAGACACAGAGUUGGCCGUGGGCUUAGAUGCCAUCUGUAUUAAAAAGUAAUAUGAAAUGAGUGUUGGGAAAUAUGCAGCCUCUUACGUAUGAAGCGCAGUUAGGUCGAUAACACGCUAAAAAUUCAAACACCACUGUAGUUUUUUUAGCCCAGGAAUUCAGGUAAUCUAAAAUGUAAUAUUAUCAGGUUGCUCCAUUUAAUCAUUACGGACUUCCGUGCCAGACGACAGCGUAAUUAUAAAACAAUUAUGUUGUAUAAAUAGAAGGAGCUGCUUCUGCAAAGGGCGCCUAUUACUUUCCGUUCAGUGACCUCCGAUUAAAAGCCAUGCAGAAUUGCGGUCGCAUCGUUAACCGUCUGUCAUCGUUCCCAUGCCUCUCUUUCUGUGACCCUUUGAGAGUCUGAGCUGUUUUUGCUCUCCAAGGACAGAAGGGUGGUACGGAUCAGGUCGGCCCCUGGGUCGCUGCAGCAAACAGGAGCACCGUGUCGGAGACAGAAAUUGUGACGAGGUGCGGGAAAAGGUGCAGUUUUGAAGGCAAAGAGGAGAGGGACAAAACCAGCAGCGUCUGAAUAGCGACCCAUAUUCAGGUUUUUUUUUUAGUUAGGUUUGGGCAGCCCGCUUGUACCAGAAUGGGCUACAUGACUGCCGUUCACUGUCCCAGCCAGGUUGUGGAUUCAGGAUUUAAGAAGGGACUGUUGCAGAAUGGAAGAUGGAAAACUUUGGCCAGGUAGCGGUGUUUAUAUGCGGCUGCAGGUGAAUUGCACAAAAACCCAACCUGUGUCAGGUUUGCAUGAUGACACAAUAUUGAAGGAAGAUGCAUAUUUAAUUAUGUGAAAUGACAGCCCAAAAGUGAUGCAUUUGUUGGCUAUAAUCAGAGAGGGGAUCUUGAGGACGAAAGGGGAGCAGGUCUGUGUUGUCUGAGACGGGGUUUCCCACAGUUCAGGUAGAGGUGCUGUACUGUAUGUGUCCUCUGGACGGGGACAGUGGGGGGGUCGUGAGAAGCUGUGCUCCACGUCCUGCUGCUCUCUUACUGUCUCUCUCCAGGUGAGCUGAAGAGCACGCUGGAGAAUGGAGGAAGCAGCUGUAUCCUGACACUCCGUCAUGUUCCUCGGAGAAGGUUCCGCCCAUGUGCUCAUCACGAGCAGGGGGAGGAAUCACCUUCACGGUCAGCAGGAUUUUUUGAUCCACCACUGGGAUGAUGUGGGGAGGCAGGAGAUGGGGGGGGGGGGGCUUCAGCAGAUGUCAAAAAUUCUAAACAAAAGCCCAAGCUCACUUCUCAACAUGCGACGCAAUCAACACUGAAGCGCUUUAACAGGUCCUGCUUGGUGUGUAGAACAAAGAGCUGGCAGUCGCUGGGCUGUCCUGAGGGACGCGUGCUUCUGUGAAUGUCUGAUGCGCUGACUUUGCAGUCCUUGUGUGAAAGUAGUUCCGGCCGUUUUUUUUCCAGGGGGUGUGGCCAUUGUCUGAAGAGAAAGACCUAGUGACAUUUGGAGGAAGGACUGGCCCAGUUACACACGCUGCACCCCAGUGUAGUGGAACCUAACAGCACACAAUCAGGACAGCAUUUACAGAUUGACUUUAUUAUACCCAACAGUGCUGUAGUGCAGCAAGGUUUAGGGAAAAUAGGGUUAGUAACUUUGCUACGCUGAAAUGUACUCGACAGCUAGGGUACAAUUGGCAGACCGUCGAGGGUACAGCCCCAGUGACAAGCGAAGGUACAAAUCGAUCCUCUUUUUUUCUCACACUAUAACAUUCUAUCUGGCUCAGAUAACAAAAGCUUUGACCAUGCAAAAGUGAAAAUGUCCUUGAUGAUUUGACUCCGCCUUACUAUAACAAGAAUUUAGAACUUUACAGGCAGGAAAAAAACUACGUAUACUAUUAUUUUAAGGAUGCUCAUCUUUCGAAAGCUGUUAGCAAUUCCUCCGCCCUGCCUGUUUCUCUUCUGUAUUUGAAAAUCUGAUGAAGCCCUUUCCAGUGGCUAUACCUAAUGCUUUCUAUGUAUAGAGCAUGGUUUCUACACCGGCAUGUAGCAUACUUACAACAUUCCUGUAAUGUUGCACCAACAUCCCAGCUAAAAGUUUCCAAUUACGAGAACAUUCUUGGAAUGUUUUAGGUGAUGUUAAUGGAAUAAUAGGUUUACCUAGUGAUCACUUUGUUUGUAUAUUUCUCUUGUAGGUCACAGUAUAUUUAGCUAAUGAUGGGGACCAGUGAUGCUGAUUCAUCUCACAGCAAUAUUUUUAGUGCAACUUUAGCAAAACAUUCCAAGAAAAUAAUGUGAAAGAUGAGUGUUAAGCCUCUCAAGAUGUUUAGAAAUGAGAGGCUCUGGAGGUGCUUGUUCCUGCUGGGGCUGCACUACAGCAAUGUUCCUGCAUCUCGCUAGCGUCUUUAACCGUGUCCGUAUUCUCUGUGUCUUGUGUAACGUGCAUGUAGGAACCUCCCUUGUAAAACCUGGAAGCUGCAGUUGGGGAUUGUAUCACUAACACCUGCAAGUGAAUCUGACUACUAACCUUUACUAACUGAAAUUAACCAACCCAACUAAAACCGUUGUAAGUUCCUUAAAGAAAUAUUUCUCCAUCCAUCGCCAGUAUGGUCAUGUCUCUCCUCUGUCACCUGUUUCUUCAAUUCUUUGUAUAUUUUUUUGGUUCUGAGGGCUAGAGGCAGAGUGUGGUAUGUGUGUAUGUGUACGUGUGUGUCUGUGUGUGUGUCUGCUAUGCAACAUCAGUUCCGCGUAAGAUGUGUAAAGCAUGAGAGCAUCAGAUCAGACAUAGGUCUGAAGUCUGGUUAUGUGACGUUAGUGAGGUAAUGCAGACUGAUGGCACCUAUCAUGUCUUUAUGCGCUUGUCUCCGCUGGGAUGCCUGCCGCUGGAUCUGUUAGUUGUCGUCAAGAGUCAGCAGUUGCUCGUCCUUUAAGCCCUGUCCUCCUUCUGACUGCACCAUUGAACUCUCUUCUUGCAUAUUGUCCUCUGCUGUGAAUCAGUCGUGCCCCAUCUCCCAUCGCAGCGUAUACUGGCCCUUCCAUGGCAGCACAAAUUCCUUUCAGGUGCCUCGACGCAGUCCCCACCUUUGCUGCCCCGUCAGCCUUUAAAUGUCCCUUCUCCGCCCGCCUCUCUGUCCCCUCUCUGGCUCGCUCUUUCUAUACUGUCAUCUAUGAGACGUCUGCCAUAUCAAACUGAAAUCCCAUCUCGAAAGGCGUAGGGAGGCAGCGUUGCAGGGAUCCGGCCUGCAGAAGUACUAUUUUAUCAUUCCGCUCCUUUGGAAAAUUCACUGAGAGAAUUUAUGUUUGAAGCUUGAAGUUAGGAUAUUACUUGCAGAUGUUUAUACUGAUGGCCUUUUGUUGCUGUAAAAAGUGAUGGGAUAGUAUGACAUAUCUAAGUCAAUUUUGCAUGCAGUAAUAUAUGAUUCAGAGAGAGAAAAAUGUUGAAUAGAAUGGUGAAGGACCAGAUGUAUUUUGAAUUUAAAUUUGUUAAUCUUGUAAACUUAUAAUAAUUUAUCAUUUUAUACAAGAUGUCGAUAUGGUGUUUAGGUGAUUUAAAUAAUAAUUUGCUUAGCAAACGUUUUUAUAUUACCCAUUGCAGGAAAAGUUAUUGAGCGAAAGAGUGGAAUUAGCACAUUUGUGCCUGGCUGAUGUGUGCAGCAGAGUACAGACACCUUUCUCUGGUGGCUGGUGUGUGCAGCAGAGUACAGACACCUUUCUCUGGUGGCUGAUGUGUGCAGCAGAGUACAGACACCUUUCUCUGGUGGCUGGUGUGUGCAGCAGAGUACAGACACCUUUCUCUGGUGGCUGAUGUGUGCAGCAGAGUACAGACACCUUUCUCUGGUGGCUGGUGUGUGCAGCAGAGUACAGACACCUUUCUCUGGUGGCUGGUGUGUGCAGCAGAGUACAGACACCUUUCUCUGGUGGCUGGUGUGCGCAGCAGAGUACAGACACCUUUCUCUGGUGGCUGGUGUGCGCAGCAGAGUACAGACACCUUUCUCUGGUGGCUGGUGUGCGCAGCAGAGUACAGACACCUUUCUCUGGUGGCUGGUGUGCGCAGCAGAGUACAGACACCUUUCUCUGGUGGCUGGUGUGCGCAGCAGAGUACAGACACCUUUCUCUGGUGGCUGGUGUGCGCAGCAGAGUACAGACACCUUUCUCUGGUGGCUGGUGUGUGCAGCAGAGUACAGACACCGUUCUCUGGUGGCUGAUGUGUGCAGCAGAGUACAGACACCUUUCUCUGGUGGCUGGUGUGUGCAGCAGAGUACAGACACCUUUCUCUGGUGGCUGGUGUGCGCAGCAGAGUACAGACACCUUUCUCUGGUGGCUGGUGUGUGCAGCAGAGUACAGACACCUUUCUCUGGUGGCUGGUGUGUGCAGACAGCGCCAGUCUGCCAUUGGUGUGCAUGUUGGUUUGUGUGACAGAGACAUUGGUGCUUGUUGCUUUUUUGGUUCCUGUCUCUACUGAUGCAGCAUUCUCCCUCUGAUUAUGACAAGAUAAUAAUCCUGCAGCAAAUUCUUCCCUGGCAUUCUGGGCCUCCUGGAAUCACUAACAAAACCUAACCCUACUACUAACGUCUCCUAACAGACCUGCGACUAACCCCCCCCCCCCACUUGAAUGUCCCCCUAUGGAUGUGGGCUGAGCAGCACUGACUGACCAGACCCCAAGGAGCUCCUUGACUCCCCAGAGACUGCAGUGCUGCACACCCCCAAAAAGGCCUGAAUGCAGACCAAUAAAGCAGAGAUUCCCAAUCAAUCGUAGAUGUUCAUACUAAAGUGGCCAAUUAGAGAUGGCUUCUUAUUGAACCAACCAGCUAGCUGCAUUCUUGGGACAGUCAGCGGCUAUUUGGAUACGUUCACGUUGAUCUCACCAAUCAGAGACCUCCACUGCCGAAAAACCCGGAUGGUGACUGAUGGCUGCCUCUCAACUCAAUUAGUGGCCUUAAAGGCGAUUUACUGAGGAGUUCCUGCAGCUCUUUGUCUUUUGGGGGUUAUGUGAAUAGCUGCAUGACCGUCCUGACUAAAACCGAGUGACCAUUCUGACUAAAAAUGCAAGCGUUAGCGGUGGCUACGCAAUGGACAGUACAGCACACCAAAGAAAACAGUCUCAGUGAGCUUGGUUUUUAUGAUCAUUUUUUUUCCCAGUGAAGCAUCUCUCACCUUCCUUUCUGUUAUUGGUUUGAUGUAAAUUUGCAUCCUAAGCAGGAGUUUGAAGAUUCUUUUAAAAUGCCGACCUUUCUGCGCUUCUCAGCUUCCCCUGUCCACUGUGCAGCCCAGGCUUGCUGCUGCUUAGUUUGCAGAAUGUAAUGAUUCACUUUCCAUCUGCUCAUUUCCUUGGGAAAAUAGAAGUGUUUCUAUGAUUCAGACCUCGCUGGGGCGGAUGGGACUGCUAACAGCUUCAGCGAAAUUAGCAUGUAUUUCCUUACAGAAGAAGCAACGUUUAAUUUUACUAAUAGUUAAAAACAACUAUAGUCUCUUUUCUUAAUGACUUGUCUUCCAAGCCUCAUCCAAUAAAUUGGGUCUCCUUCCCUUUGCACUGGGUGCUUGUCUAGUAAAGAAUGCAGAAUUUACAAUUUCUUUCUGGUCCUCAGGGCAGUUCCUUAAACAUUGUCACUUUUUUUUCACACGGUAGCAGAACUGUGAUGUUGCCAUGGCAAUCUUGCCAUAACACUGCAUAAAUCUGUUCACAAGAACGAUUACCUCUGCAGAUUAGAUAGAUAUCUAGCAGGCAUCUCACCCAGAGCCUGUCUUCUUAACAAAGCCGGACACUCACCCAUCUUUUAGCCUGUAUCUGUAUUUAUUAAGUUUGAUUUAAUGCAAUACAUUUGAUGCAACUGCCUCCCACUGUGUGCAGUAAACAGCUUCGGCUUUUUGUGGAAGAAACAUAAGUCAUGGAUUUCUCUGUCUGUGUAAAUGUGUACCGGAGGUGGGCUGGGAGGAUGAGCAACAAAUGAUUUCUUUUUAAUAUGAAAGCAGAACUCUGCCCAAUAACACACCCUGUAAGUUCUCAGGCAUACUGUAGAGCAGGGCUUGUGAGGGUUGUGAGUGGGACCCUCUGGUCUGCAUGAACACGCAGCCUUGUGAGGGCAUCAUAGAACAUGGGGGAUUCCAGUACUGCAAGCAAAUCACCAAAAAAUGUUAAUAAAACUGAAAGUGAUAUAAGUGAUUUGUAUUAAAAUGUGUCUUCUAAGCGA